AGUGAACGCUGGCGGUAGGCCCAACACAUGCAAGUCGAACGGCAGCACAGGAGAGCUUGCUCUCUGGGUGGCGAGUGGCGGACGGGUGAGGAAUACAUCGGAAUCUACUCUGUCGUGGGGGAUAACGUAGGGAAACUUACGCUAAUACCGCAUACGACCUACGGGUGAAAGCAGGGGAUCUUCGGACCUUGCGCGAUUGAAUGAGCCGAUGUCGGAUUAGCUAGUUGGCGGGGUAAAGGCCCACCAAGGCGACGAUCCGUAGCUGGUCUGAGGGGAUGAUCAGCCACGCUGGAAGUGAGCCACGGUCCAGACUCCUACGGGAGGCAGCAGUGGGGAAUAUUGGACAAUGGGCGCAAGCCUGAUCCAGCCAUACCGCGUGGGUGAAGAAGGCCUUCGGGUUGUAAAGCUCUUUUGUUGGGAAAGGAAUCCAGCUGGCUAAUACCCGGUUGGGAUGACGGUACCCAAAGAAUAAGCACCGGCUAACUUCGUGCCAGCCGCCGCCGUAA
rnacentral:rRNA from 1 species